GAUGAACGCUAGCGGCAGGCCUAAUACAUGCAAGUCAAGGGGAUCGCAAGAUCACCGGCGCACGGGUGCGUAACGCGUACACAACGUACCUCUGACCGGGGGAUAGCGGUGGGAAACUGCCGGUAAUACCCCAUAGUAUUAUUGCACGGCAUUGUGCGGUAAUUAAAGUUUUGGCGGUCAGAGAUCGGUGUGCGUCCGAUUAGCUAGUUGGCGGGGUAACGGCCCACCAAGGCGACGAUCGGUAGGGGGUGUGAGAGCAUGACCCCCCACAUGGGUACUGAGACACGGACCCAACUCCUACGGGAGGCAGCAGUAAGGAAUAUUGGACAAUGGGCGGAAGCCUGAUCCAGCCAUGCCGCGUGCAGGACGAAGGCGCUCAGCGUUGUAAACUGCUUUUGGACGGGGACAAACCACUUUAUUUAUAGGGUGUUGAGGGUACCGUCAGAAUAAGCACCGGCUAACUCCGUGCCAGCAGCCGCGGUAAUACGGAGGGUGCAAGCGUUAUCCGGAAUCACUGGGUUUAAAGGGUGCGCAGGCGGCGAGGUAAGUCAGUUGUGAAAUUCCCCGGCUCAACCGGCGGGACUGCGAUUGAUACUGCCUUGCUUGAAACAGGUUGAGGUGAGCGGAAUGUGGCAUGUAGCGGUGAAAUGCU
rnacentral:rRNA from 1 species